rnacentral:lncRNA from 1 species
AAAUAGGGAUAAGGCCCCCAGUUGGACAUAAACCAAAAUAAAAUAGCAAUGUCAAAUCAAUAAGGCCUUCCGAAAUAAGGAAGGCUUACCAACUGCAAACUUCGGAUAACCCAAUCUAUCGCUUAGCGGACCUCGGGACUGUGUCUCAGAUCCUGAAAUAUAGGGGGUCAAUACAGAUGUACUAGUACACAGAGCAAUCCAAAAUAACGUACUUUUAUACAAC